GACGAACGCUGGCGGCGUGCCUAACACAUGCAAGUCGAGCGAGUUAAUCUCCUUCGGGAGUGAAGCUAGCGGCGGACGGGUGAGUAACACGUGGGCAACCUGCCUCAUAGAGGGGAAUAGCCUUCCGAAAGGAAGAUUAAUACCGCAUAAGAUUGUAGCUUCGCAUGAAGUAGCAAUUAAAGGAGCAAUCCGCUAUGAGAUGGGCCCGCGGCGCAUUAGCUAGUUGGUGAGGUAACGGCUCACCAAGGCGACGAUGCGUAGCCGACCUGAGAGGGUGAUCGGCCACAUUGGGACUGAGACACGGCCCAGACUCCUACGGAGGCAGCAGUGGGGAAUAUUGCACAAUGGGGGAAACCCUGAUGCAGCAACGCCGCGUGAGUGAUG
rnacentral:rRNA from 1 species